UAUAUCUUAAAUUUUCCUGCAAAAAAUGAAGAAAGCGUCAGAUUAGACAGGUACAAAAAUAAAUUCUCUUUUGCAUCCCAGAACUCAUGGUUCUGUAUGAAUUCUGAUACAUACAAGAAGGAAUAUA